rnacentral:rRNA from 1 species
GCGAGAAGUCCACUGAACCUUAUCAUUUAGAGGAAGGAGAAGUCGUAACAAGGUUUCCGUAGGUGAACCUGCGGAAGGAUCAUUGUCGCAUAGCAUUUUCGUCUCGAACGGAAUCCGAUCCGACACACCCCCGAAUUGUUGACCCCGAUCCUCCUUUAAAAUUCGCCGGCUGGGGAGGAGGUAGACAAACAAAUGCUCUGCCUCGGCAGACGGCGGUCGGCCAUUCUUGGCUAUGUCUACGUCGGACCGUCUGUUCGUCGGGCCUCCUCUACCCCUCUGUGCGCUCUCCCUCCCCAUGCGUUGGCUGUGGGGCGGCGGUACAAUGAACCUACUGGCGCGGCCUGUGCCAAGGAUCACAGAAUGGGGAGCGCCCGUGCGUGUGCCUUGCUACGAGUGGGGUGGCGUGCAGUGUUGGUCUCCAUGAACGAGUCUCGGAACGACUCUUGGCAACGGAUAUCUAGGCUCUUGCAUCGAUGAAGAACGUAGCGAAAUGCGAUAUGUGGUGUGAAUUGCAGAAUCCCGCGAACCAUCGAAUCUUCGAAUGCAAGUUGCGCCCGAGGCCGUCGGGCCGAGGGCACGCCUGCUUGGGCGUCACGCCCCGUGUCGCUCCCCCCUCACCCUGCCGGUGGCGUCCACUCGCACAGUGCGGCGGACGAGGACGAGGAUGCGGAGAUUGGCCUGUCGUGCUUUGGUGCGGCUGGCUGAAGACGCUCGGUCCCCUCACGGAGUGAGCACGGCGAGCGGUGGAUGAAUUCUGCGCUGCGGGCAGUACGAGUCGUAUGUGCUCAUCGUCGUCGUGCCUGCCGCCGUCGAAUGGAGGGGAACGGCGUGUGGAGUGCCGCUUUCCUGCCGCAAAGUGGAAGGGAGGAAGAAGGAAAGUUACUCUGCGAAAGAACCCAUCGGUGAGGCGACGCACGUCGUUGCUCGUGCUGCAACCCCAGGUCAGGCGGGGCCACCCGCCGAGUUUAAGCAUAUAUA